UAGCGUGGGGAGGAGGGGGGUAGAGGAGCGGCGGUGGCGGUGGAGGGCUAGGUUAGAGAGGGGCGGCGGAGGGCUAGGUUGGAGGGUGGGUGACGGCUGGAGCGGCAGGAGGAGUGGGUGACGGCGGCUGGAGCAGGGAGGGAGGGGAGUGGUAGAGAGGGAGCAGAGAGGGAGAGGGGGCGUGGUGAGGAGCGGAUGAUGGAGUCGGCCUACCCGGUCUGCGACGCGGAGCAGGCGGGCGGGCACGAGACCCAGCAGCAGCUCCGGCCGUUCGGGUGGGGCCUCCGGCGGGUGUGCGACGCGGCGUGGUGGCAGUACGUGACGAUGCAACCGACGACGCUGUCGGAGUUGCGGAGGGGGUGUCAGCUGAAGGCGGGUGUGGUCGAGUUGCUGCCGAAGCUCCAGUAGCUCUUGGUGGAGGAGCUACCGCAACAGAUGAAGUAGCUGCUCCUCCCGCAGAUGAGGGACGGCGAGAAGCUGGCGGAGGCGGUCUAGUCCCUCGAGCGAGACGUAGGCUCAGAGUCAGUAGGACGUGUCGUUCCUCGACCUGGUUCCCUCGUUCGUCGCGACGACCAAGGAACUCUGUACACGUACACACCUCAUUAAAACGAAUCUCAUAAAUUGUUCUAACUUGACAUGUACACACCUCAUUAAAACGAACCUCAUAAAUUGUUCUAAGUUAUUCUAAAUUGAAUGAAAAGGUCAAUUAAUUUACCUGUAGAACCUAAUCAAUCUUUUAGUACUUAAUAAACGUCUUUAGGUAUCUUCAUAACAUGAGGUCACACGUAAUGAAUGUAUUUGAACGAACGUUCGAAUAAAAGACUGAACAUAUAAGACUUUGACUUUUUCGAAUCAAUUGAAAACAAUUCAAAGUCAUUAUAAGUCACCUCAUAAAUGACAUUUAAAACGUGUAGUGUCAUUAAAUUGAACGACAAUUGACGACAUCGUAAUCCUCAUCAAAAUGAUGUUAUGACGAACUUGUCCCACUUACCUCCCACUCCUUCAAAAUGACGUCUCAUCCUAACGUGUCCCUCAUCAAUCGUCAUCAUCUACAACUACUAGUAUCAGGCCUCAUCAAAACGGAAACCACUAGUAGGUUUUUACACUACAUGAUAACAUGAAACUCACUUUUACCUUACCACGUUAGGACGUGUUGUAUGAAACUCACUUACGACUCAUGACAUACGUGAACACAUCAUCUACAACUCAUGACAUACGUGAACACAUCAUCUAUAAAAUAAUUGAUCUAUAUAUGCACAACUGACAAGCAGACAAGAAGAUCAAAAGACUACACGUACAAAUAAACCUAGGUGACUUGGAAACGUGCCGAUUAGAGAGUUCAAACAUAUAUGUAUCUGUCCAAAAGACUUUCACACUGAGGCAUCAUAACUCUUCAUUAAUUCAAAAGGAAAUCAAAAGGCUACACUUUCAAAGAACCUUCAUCUCAAAAAGAAUUGAUUAGUUCUUGAGCUGAGAAAAGGGGGCUCUAGCAGCAGCGGGUCAGGCCCCAACCGCGCGCGCUGGUGCGGAAGAAGGCGUGGUGGUAGCCGGUGUAGGAGACGAUGUGGGGCCUCUGCCAGACGUAGCUGGAGUUGACAAAGCUAGCUUAGCUUCGGUUCCGAAAGAGCAGGUGGAAUUCCAUAAGAUAAACACGAGGUAGGGUUUUAGAUAACACGUGACGGUUCAGGUACUCCACUUCGCGAGUGACGAGCUGGUAAAGAAAUGACUUGACCCUCGUUCUCUCUAAUAAAAGCAUUCACACUUCGGCACUUCAGUACUUCUCAUCGUAUAACAUCGUAUAUACACAACAUUUCUAACAUUAUCUAAAUAAAUCACCAUAUAAACUACUUAAAAUACACAGAUAAACUUUAUAACUAAUACAUACACUAAACUUUUGAACACUUUACCUUUGGACUGGUCACCCCAGUGAAUACUUUUAU
rnacentral:rRNA from 1 species